rnacentral:rRNA from 1 species
UCUUUCUAGAAAUUCAAAAAUCAAAGUUUUUUCUUUUGUGCAGAAACAACAAUAUUAAUUAAGGACAAGAAGACCCUAAGAAUUUUUAAAACUAUAGUUGUAUAAUUAUUAAUUAUAGUUUUUUAAUUGGGGCGAUUGAUAAACAUAGAAAACUUUAUUUAAAAUAAAAGAUGAACCAGUAUUAUUGGUUUAAUGAAUAAAAAUACUCUAGGGAUAACAGCGUAAUAAUUUUUAAUAGCUCUUAUUGACAAAAUAGUUUGCGACCUCGAUGUUGGAUUAGGAUUCUUUUUUGAUGAAGAAGUCAAAAGAAGAAGUUUGUUCAACUUUUAAAUUCCUACUUG